rnacentral:lncRNA from 1 species
AAAUUCCAGAGCACUGGACCCUAAAACAAGACACCUGUAGCUCUUUCUCACCCAGCAAUUGGGUACUAAUUUAAUCCAUUUGUACCGGGGUUAUAUAAUUUCAGGGAUGCGGGUGGUGCUGUGGUCUAAACCACUGAGCCUCUUGGGGUUGCCGAUCAGAAGGUUGGCGGGUUGAAUCCCCGCGACAGGGUGAGCUCCCGUUGCUUGGUCCCAGCUCCUGUCAACCUAGCAGUUCAAAAGCACACCCGUGCAAGUAGAUAAAUAGGCGGGAAGGUAUACAUCUUUUCCAUGCGCUACUCUGAUUUUGGUGUUCCAUUGCGCCAGAAGCGGCUUAGUCCUGCUGGCCACAUGACCCGGGAAAACUGUCUGCGGACAAACGCCAGCUCCCUUGGCCUGUAAAGCGAGAUGACCCCAGAGUCGUCUGUGACUGGACCUAACUGUCAGUGGUCCUUUACCUUUUUAAAAAUAUAAUUUCAUCAAAGUGGUUUCGCUAAGUCGCGCAAAACUGUGGGAAUACUGUAUAGAGCCUCCCUAGGAAAGUAAGUAAGCAGGCUGUGGAAUCUAGCAAAUUGGCAUUCUGUUCUGACCUUGGGAAUGUCUUAAAAGUAGCUGUGGAGCCUUAUCUUUAUGUAUAAGAAGGCUGGGAACAAACACAGUAAGAAAUGCAUAAACAUCCUAAAAAUCUCGCUGGCUACAAAAGUCUUGCUGAUCGUUCCUCCUCCCUUCUGGAAGAGGAAAGAGCAAAAGGUUUCUUAGUUUCAGCAAGCCCUGGGGUGGAUUAUAUGCAGUACCUCUCACAAAUUAGGGUUUUUGCAAUGCUUCUGGGUUUCUGCCUUGAUACCUAUAACCCACCCUCUCUCUCUCUCAAUAUAUAUAGUGCAUUUUGCCAGUUUUACAGCUCACCAGGUUUAAGCAGAAGGUGGUUUCUGUCUGGUGGCUGAACCAGAUUUUAAAAGGAAUAACUUAAGUGUGGCACUUAAAAAAGAAAAGAAAAUCUUUGUUCAUGCUGGAAAAUUUACAUGGGUUUGCUUCUGUAGCUGGUUAAACGGUGCUACAGUGGUACCUCGCAAGACGAAUGCCUCUCAAGACGAAAAACUCACAAGACGAAAGAGUUUUUUUCAUUUUUUGAGUUGCUUCGCCAGACAAAUUUCCCUAUGGGCUUGCUUCGGAAACGUCUUGCAAGUUUGUUUCCUUUUUCUUAAAACCGUUACAGUAAUACAGGGUGCAUUGCUUGAAGAAGUGCAGUUGCGACUUGACUUCGGGGAGCAACUCAUAGCACACGGUGUGGUAGCCUUUUUUGAGGUUUUUGAAGAUGUUUUUGAAAAAAUUGAAACCGUGCUUCGCAAGACGAGAAAACUCGCGGAACGAAUUAAUUUCGUCUUGCGGGGCACCACUGUAGUAUCAAACCACUUUUGCUGUUCUUAAUAAUGAAAAGGGCUUUGUAUCAAGGCAGUUUCACUCCAGCUUGUGGGUUUGCAUCUGCAAAACGUGGCUUCAAGCCUUUUGCUCAGCCUUGUGCUGCGAAAAUGGUUAGUGGUCGAACCAUCCAACGCUUGGUGCAUUCUGUUUCACAGUACAGUCCUACCUUAGAUCCCGAACGCCUUUGUAGUCGAACAUUCUGGCUUCCGAACACCACAAACCUGGAAGUGAGUGUUCCAGUUUGUGAACAUUCUUUUGGAAUCUGAACGUCCGACGGGGCUUCCUAUUGGCUGCAGGAGCUUCCUGCAGCCAAUUAGAAGCCGGGCCUUGGUUUCUGAAUGUUUUGGAAGUCGAAUCUACUUCUGGAACGGAUUCCGUUUGACUUCCGAGGUACCGCUGUAACCAGAAGAGCUGAUGUCAAAGGAUCCAAAAGCGACGUCUGCUAUGAUAUUCCUGUGAUAACUGCUAAUACCUCCUGCUCAAAACCCUAAAAGUCAGUAAGGAUGCAAUGCCCUGCUUUCACUGUAUUCACCCUGAAAAUCAAGAUUAAGUGAGGUUUCUGCCCUACCUGAGCUCACCUUAGAACACCUGCAUUACGGUUCAACAGGUGUACUAACCCCAGUCAGACUCCCUCCCUGAUGCGGUUCCUGGAGCAAGAACUGAGAGCCCCCCUUGGGACUCAACCUGCCCACCCACCUCUCCAAGAAAGUGAAAAGACAAAAAGACUUGAUAUCCCUGUCUAACUAGUCCCUAGUUAAUUAGCAUCAUGCUGACGAAUCCUCGCGGCAUGUGAUCUAUAGCCUACUUGUAUCACAUGAUUUAAGGUCUCUCUGCUGUUUGACAUCCUCUGCUACAUAACCAUCCUUCUUCCUUUGGCCAAACACCACCGUGUAGAAAGUGCAUUAAUCCAUAGCUAGAUGGAGUUUGAGUAGUUUUUCAUAGAAUCAGAGUUGUAGAGUUGGGAGGGACCCAGAGGGUCAUUUCAUCCAGCCCCCUGCAAUGCAGGAAUCGCAGCUAAAACAUCCAAGACAGAUGGCAACCCAACCCCUGCUAGCGUACAAUAAAUGUCAGCAUCUGUAUCUGCUAGCUAGCUUCCUUUUUUUUAUGAAAUCCUUUUUAUUUGAUUUUACAAAUGCAGUGGUACCUUGGUUUACGAACUUAAUCCGUUCGGGAAGUCCGUUCUUAAACCAAAACUGUUCUUAAACUGAGGCGCGCUUUCCCUAAUGAGGCCUCCCGCCGCCGGUGCCCUUCCACCAUUCGGGUUCCGUUCUUAGACCAAGGUAAAGUUCUCAAACCAAGACACUACAGUGGUACCUCGGGUUAAGAACUUAAUUCGUUCUGGAGGUCCGUUCUUAACCUGAAACUGUUCUUAACCUGAGGUACCACUUUAGCUAAUGGGGCCUCCCGCUGCCGCUGCGCUGCCAGAGCACGAUUUCUGUUCUCAUCCUGAAGCAAAAUUCUUAACCUGAGGUACUAUUUCUGGGUUAGCGGAGUCUGUAACCUGAAGCGUCUGUAACCUGGUCCACGGGGUCACGAAGAGUCGGACACGAAUAAACGACUAAGCAACAACAUUAUUCUAUAAUCUAUCUUUUAUAUCAAUCCGUAUUGUCCAUAAUAUUUGUUACAUUACAAGUGAGAUUAAAAUCCUGCUAAUGUUUUCAUCUGCUUGCAUUGGUCUCUUAAAUAGAUUAUAAUUUUUUCUCAUUCUUUUAAAAAGCUUUUUGUCCUCUUUGUUCCUGAGCUUUCCACUCACCUUUGCCAUUUCUGCGUAGUCCAUUAGCUUAGCUUGCCUUUGGUCCCUGGUAGCGACUGUUUCUUCUUUCCAUCCCUGGCCUAGUAGCAUCCGUGCGGCUGCUGUCGCAUACAUAAAGAGACUUUUCUGGUCCGUUUGAACUUCUGUACCUAUAGUUCCUAAUAGAAAAGCUUCCAUUUUUUAAACAAAAAGUAUUUUAAACAUUUUUUCCAUUUCAUUAUAUAUCAUCUCCCAGAAAGCUUUUAUUACCUUACACGACCACCACAUGUAAUACAAGGUACCUUCUUUUUCUUUACAUUUCCAGCAGCUGUUUGUACUUGUUCUAUACAUUUUUGCUAACUUAUUAGCUUCCAGGGAGGCAAAGUGUUUUGCUUAUCAAGAGGCACAUUGGCAGCUGCCUUAUAUUGAGUGAGACCAGUGCUCCAUUUAGCUCAACAUCGUCUGCUCAGACUGGCAGUGGCUCUUUUAGGCUAUUUGGCAGGGUUCUGACCAAUUCCAUGGAACAAGUCCUUAAAGCGCUCACUGUAUGCCCAAAAGUGCUCUGUAGAUGCUUUUUGAAGGAUGUGCCACUAGUAGUUCUUCACUGACUGCUGAAGGGUGCCUUUUAUCUUUUGGGAUCUGUGGGGUGGAGAUCUGAGGAGGAGACGAGAAGGCAAAACAAAAAUCUCAGGAAUUCCGAAGCUUGAUAAUCAUCUUCCCCAUCCUGCCCAGUGCAUCUUGUUUUUCCUGAUCUGUGCAAUUUGGAGUUAAAAGUCUUUGCUCCUUGAGAAGGGGAAGAAUGUCAGGAUUUAACUAGUAAAUGUUUGUGAAACUAAAAUAUUGACGGUUCUCUUUCCUGCCCCAUCUUCUCUCUUGCUUGUAUUCACUGGUCUGGAUGACAUGGAAACCGUGGUUUGUUGUGAAAGGGUGGGCUGUAGGAGAAGCGGUUGCAUCUGCUUGGCUCCUUCCCAGACAUUUUGUUGCUGUGCCCCUCUGAACCUCAGCCAUCGUUUGGCCUAGCACAUUGUCCAGGCUGGUGGUUUAGCUCUCUGCAGGCUAAGGUUUAACCAAGGUUCCUCUUAUGGUUUGCAGCCCAUGGUUUAUCCAGGAGACCUAAAUCACAAGCCCAGGUUAGGUCAACACGCUAUGCCAAACCAUGGUUUAGCUUUGCGUGGCUUGAAUUCAAUUCGCCAUAGCUCUGCGCUUGCAAAUUUCUUUCUCUUUUCAUGGCUUUCUAGUGGAUAUUUCCCCAGUGCCUUUUUUUAAUGUAACCUUGCCUAACAUAGAAUGCAUUUCUGUAUGUUGUUCACGCUAGCAUAAUCAUUUUGACGCACAUUCCCCCUAAUAUCAGCCUUUUGGUAGGAGAUCCGCUUUAAUUAUUAAUUAAUUAUAAAAACAGCAUAAAAUACAGUAUAAAAACAUGAAUAACAAUAAAAUUC